UACGGAGGGUGCAAGCGUUAAUCGGAAUUACUGGGCGUAAAGCGUGCGUAGGCGGUUCGUUAAGUCUGUUGUGAAAGCCCCGGGCUCAACCUGGGAAUGGCAAUGGAUACUGGCGAGCUAGAGUGUGUCAGAGGAUGGUGGAAUUCCCGGUGUAGCGGUGAAAUGCGUAGAGAUCGGGAGGAACAUCAGCGGCGAAGGCGGCCAUCUGGGACAACACUGACGCUGAGGCACGAAAGCCAGGGGAGCAAACGGG
rnacentral:rRNA from 1 species